rnacentral:sRNA from 1 species
GCCUGCCCAGCAGGGACGACAGGACUGACCGAGGCCUGGACGAAGAGGGCGAGGAGGAGAGCUCAGCCGGCUCCUUGCCCCUGGUCAGCGUCUCCCUGUUCACCCCUCUCACUGCAGCCGAAAUGGCCCCCUACAUGAAGCGGCUUUCCCGGGGCCAAACGGUGGAGGAUCUGCUGGAGGUUCUGAGUGACAUAGACGAGAUGUCCCGGCGGAGACCUGAGAUCCUGAGCUUCUUCUCGACCAACCUGCAGCGGCUGAUGAGCUCGGCCGAGGAGUGUUGCCGCAACCUCGCCUUCAGCCUGGCCCUGCGCUCCAUCCAGAACAGCCCCAGCAUUGCAGCCGAUUUCCUGCCCACGUUCAUGUACUGCCUGGGCAGCCAGGACUUUGAGGUGGUGCAGACGGCCCUCCGGAACCUGCCCGAGUACACUCUCCUGUGCCAAGGGCCCCGUCUCCCCCACAGAGCAUGCGGCUGUGCUGCUGCACCGGGCCUUCCUGGUGGGCAUGUACGGCCAGAUGGACCCCAGCGCGCAAAUCUCCGAGGCCCUGAGGAUCCUGCAUAUGGAGGCCGGGAUGUGAGCCUGUGGCAGCCGACCCCCCUCCAAGCCCCGACCCGUCCCGUCCCCGGGGAUCCUCGAGGCAAAGCCCAGGAAGCGUGGGCGUUGCUGGUCUGUCCGA